AUUGAACGCUGGCGGCAGGCCUAACACAUGCAAGUCGAACGAGUGGCGGACGGGUGUGUAAUGUCUGGGAAAUUGCCAGAUGGAGGGGGAUAAUUACUGGAAACGGUAGUUAAUACUGCAUAUCAUCAGCUGUUCUCAGAUGGGAUUAGCUUGUUGGUGGGGUAACGGAUCACCAAGGCGACGAUCCCUAGCUGGUCUGAGAGGUUGACCAGCCACACUGGAACUGAGACACGGUCCAGACUCCUACGGGAGGCAGCAGUAGGGAAUAUUGCGCAAUGGGCGCAAGCCUGAUGCAGCCAUGCCGCGUGUAUGAAGAAGGCCUUCGGGUUGUAAAAUACUGUCAGCAGGGAGGCGUUACCCACAGAGGAAGCACCGGCUAACUCCGUGCCAGCAGCCGCGGUAAUUC
rnacentral:rRNA from 1 species